rnacentral:rRNA from 1 species
UACGUAGGGGGCAAGCGUUGUCCGGAUUUAUUGGGCGUAAAGAGCGUGUAGGCGGCCACACAGGUCAGCUGUGAAAACUCGAGGCUCAACCUCGAGACGUCGGUUGAAACCGUAUGGCUAGAGUCCGGAAGAGGAGAGUGGAAUUCCCGGUGUAGCGGUGAAAUGCGCAGAUAUCGGGAAGAACACCCGUGGCUAAGGCGGCUCUCUAGUACGUGACUGACGCUGAGACGCGAAAGCGUGGGGAGCGAACAGG